UACGGAAGGCAGCAGUGGGGAAUAUUGCACAAUGGGCGCAAGCCUGAUGCAGCCAUGCCGCGUGUAUGAAGAAGGCCUUCGGGUUGUAAAGUACUUUCAGUCGUGAGGAAGGUGUUAAGGUUAAUAACCUUAGCAAUUGACGUUAGCGACAGAAGAAGCACCGGCUAACUCCGUGCCAGCAGCCGCGGUAAUACGGAGGGUGCGAGCGUUAAUCGGAAUUACUGGGCGUAAAGGGCACGCAGGCGGUUAAUUAAGUUGGAUGUGAAAUCCCCGGGCUUAACCUGGGAAUGGCAUCCAAGACUGGUUAGCUAGAGUCUUGUAGAGGGGGUAGAAUUCCAUGUGUAGCGGUGAAAUGCGUAGAGAUGUGGAGGAAUACCGGUGGCGAAGGCGGCCCCUGGACAAAGACUGACGCUCAUGUGCGAAAGCGUGGGGAGCAAAC
rnacentral:rRNA from 1 species